GAUAUGGUAAUGCUAUCCACAAAUGAAGACAAGGCAAAGUCAGCAAAAAAAGUCUCCAGAACGAGAGGUUAAGGCUCACCAGAAUGGCUCUAAGAGCAAUGACCCCCUAGAAGGCCUUGUUAAUGAAAUAAAUGGAUAUCUGAAAAAGGGUGGUCCUGCAAGCCAGCUGAAGUCGUUCUUGGGUUCUCUCUCUGGGACGCCUCAAGAAGUCAUUAAUGCGCUGUUUGCUGCUCUCUUUGGAGGUGUUGAAAAAGGGUUUGCCAAGGAGGUGACUAAAAAAAGGAACUACCUGGCAGCAGCAACUCAAGAGGAGGGAUCACAGAUGCUUC
rnacentral:misc_RNA from 1 species